UACCAGCACCCCGAGUGGUCGGGACGAUUAUUGGGCCUAAAGCAUCCGUAGCCGGUUUUACAAGUCCUCCGUUAAAUCCAACUGCUUAACAGAUGGGCUGCGGAGGAUACUAUAGAGCUAGGAGGCGGGAGAGGCAAGCGGUACUCGAUGGGUAGGGGUAAAAUCCGUUGAUCCAUUGAAGACCACCAGUGGCGAAGGCGGCUUGCCAGAACGCGCUCGACGGUGAGGGAUGAAAGCUGGGGGAGCAAACCGG
rnacentral:rRNA from 1 species